GUUAGGAAUAUUGGACAAUGGGCGCAAGCCUGAUCCAGCCAUGCCGCGUGAACGAUGAAGGCCUUCGGGUUGUAAAGUUCUUUAGCCGAUGAUUAUAAUGACUGUAGUCGGAAAAUAAGCCCCGGCUAACUUCGUGCCAGCAGCCGCGGUAAUACGAAGGGGGCGAGCGUUAUUCGGAAUCACUGGGCGUAAAGCGUGCGUAGGCGGUCUCGUAAGUUAGGAGUGAAAGCCCAGGGCUCAACCUUGGAAUUGCUCUUAAUACUGCAAGGCUAGAAUCUCGGAGAGGAUAGCGGAAUUUCCAGUGUAGCAGUGAAAUGCGUAGAUAUUGGAAGGAACACCAGUGGCGUAAGCGGCUAUCUGGACGAGUAUUGACGCUGAGGCACGAAAGCGUGGGGAUCAAACAGGAUUAGAUACCCCGGUAGUCC
rnacentral:rRNA from 1 species